rnacentral:rRNA from 1 species
GAUGAACGUUGGCGGCAUGCCUAACACAUGCAAGUCGAACGCGGACUUCGGUCCGAGUGGCGAACGGGUGCGUAACACGUAGGUGACCUGCCCACCGGUGGGGGAUAACCGCGAGAAAUCGUGGCUAAUACCGCAUGAGAUCGUACUAUUUUGAAAGGUACGAGGAAAGCUUAAUGCGCCGGUGGAGGGGCCUGCGGCCUAUCAGCUAGUUGGUGAGGUAACGGCUCACCAAGGCGAUGACGGGUAGCUGACCUGAGAGGGUGGUCAGCCACAGGGGAACUGAGAGACGGUCCCCACUCCUACGGGAGGCAGCAGUGAGGAAUAUUGGGCAAUGGGGGCAACCCUGACCCAGCAAUGCCGCGUGCGGGAUGAAGGCCUUCGGGUUGUAAACCGCUUUUCUGGGGGAGCAGACAAGGAGCGUACCUCAGGAAUAAGUCACGGCUAACUACGUG